rnacentral:rRNA from 1 species
UACGUAGGGGGACAGCGUUGUCCGGAUUCAUUGGGCGUAAAGAGCUCGUAGGCGGUUCGGCAAGUCGGGUGUGAAAACUCCAGGCUCAACCUGGAGACGCCACCCGAUACUGCUGUGACUUGAGUCCGGUAGGGGACCACGGAAUUCCUGGUGUAGCGGUGAAAUGCGCAGAUAUCAGGAGGAACACCGGUGGCGAAGGCGGUGGUCUGGGCCGGCACUGACGCUGAGGAGCGAAAGCGUGGGGAGCGAACAGG